rnacentral:lncRNA from 1 species
UUUUUUCUUUAUGUACUCUUCUAUUUUUUUUAUCCUGAGUCCUAAAUAUUUUUAACCUAAUCAGGAUACUUGAUAUAUGGAUAGAUGCAAUAAUUAAUGAAUAUCGAUCAUGAUUUUGAAAAAAUAAAAAUUCCAAACUGUAUUUAAGAUUUUUUUUCUGGUCGUGGAGGAAACCAGUAUGGUUCAUGGAAUAUUCACACCGGCUCACGUUAGCAUAGGGUUCUCAAGAGAAAGAGAACAAACAUAGGCUACAUA